GUACUGGGACGAUUCCGCGGAGCCGGGCAGAGGUUUUAGGGGUGCGCAGGAGUCAAGUGGUGGUUCAGUGGGGACGGAAUGAUUAACAAAGGCGUCCGAAGAAAUCGUUGUUGGAAGGUGACCAAGGUGGAAAGAGACGUUGCUUUGGCCCUGCAAGUAAGAAGAGAGAGGGAAUAGCCUGAAGGAGUAACACUAAAUUUAAAAUGACACUUUUUUACCAACCAGCGAAAGCAGAUGUUCAAAGGGGAUAUUGGCCAGGUGCGGUCGCUCACGCCUUUAAUCCCAGCACUUUGGGGGCAGACGCGGGGAGAUAGCGUGAUUCUAGGAGUUCAACCCCAGCCUGGGCAACAUGCGGAGACCCCGUACCGUCUCUACAAAAACAUUAAACAAAAAAAUUAGCUGGGCAUGGUGGUGUACCCCUGUAGUUGCAGCUACACUAGAGGCUGAGGUGGGAGGAUCGCUUGAGCCCGGGAUGUUGAGGCUGCAGUGAGCCUCGAUCCUACCACUGUGCUCCAGCCUGGGCGACAGCAAGCCCGUGUCUCAGAAAAGGCGGGAGGGGUGGGAUAUUAUUGAUGAUAGGCCUUCUGACGUCUGGCAAUAGAUUCCAGAGUAACAUCGGUCAUGGAUAAAUUUUUUUUUUAACUAAGUGACUGAAACCAAAGUUAAUUGUCUUUUGAGUGAUUUUGCACAGUAUCUCAAAAUGAACUGUACUUUUUUUCUUGUGUCACUGAAACAGUGCUGUGUGUUCUUUUUCAGAGUCUGUCACACUAAGAUGAGAAAUGUCCUUUCUUCCUGAAGGUGUCUGAUGUGUAAAAAUAUGAUAUACUUUGUGCUGUU
rnacentral:lncRNA from 10 species